CCUACGGGAGGCAGCAGUGGGGGAUAUUGCACAAUGGGGGAAACCCUGAUGCAGCGACGCCGCGUGGGGGAAGACGGUCCUCUGGAUUGUAAACCACUGUCCCCAGGGACGAAGAUGACGGUACCUGGGGAGGAAGCUCCGGCUAACUACGUGCCAGCAGCCGCGGUAAGACGUAGGGAGCGAGCGUGGUCCGGAAGUACUGGGUGUAAAGGGAGCGGAGGCGGGACUGCAAGUUGGGUGUCAAAUCUACCGGCUCAACCGGUAGCCGCACUCAAAACUGCAGUUCUUGAGUGAAGUAGAGGCCGGCGGAAUUCCUAGUGUAGCGGUGAACUGCGUAGAUAUUAGGUGGAACCCCAGUGGCGAAGGCGGCCUGCUGGGCUUUUACUGACGCUGAGGCUCGACAGUGUGGGGAGCAAACAGGAUUAGCUACCCCUGUAGUC
rnacentral:rRNA from 1 species